GGCUACUAAUAUAUCUUGAAAACAUUCAGAGCAGAACACAGUGGAUAAAGUGUUAACAAGUGUUAAAACAUAAUGGAAAAUAUGAUUUCCUGGAGUUUGUUCUUCAUAGUUACUAUUAAUGGAGUUUGGAGUGAGAUCAAACAUGAACAGUCUCCCUCCGAGGUGAAAAAACCUGGAGAGAAAGUGAAGAUGUCAUGUAUCAUAUCAGGUUAUAGCAUGACAAGCUACAACAUUCACUGGAUACGACAGAGGCCAGGAAACGCUCUGGAGUGGAUUGGGAGGAUGGACACAGGGAACAACUCUCCUACUUUUAGCAGCUCCUUUCAAAGCCGCUUCAUCAUGACUGAAGAUGUGCCCAAGAGCACUCAGUACCUGGAGGUCACGAGCCUGACAGCAGAAGACUCAGCUGUUUACUUCUGUGCUCGAGACACAGUGACUGAAGACAGUGGAGCAGCUGAACAAAAACAUCCACAGACAACAAACAGCAAUCUCAAAGGACAGUACUUUAAUAUAUAUCUACUUUAGAGCCCAAUAU